CAGAUAGCUCAGUUGGUAGAGCAGGGGACUGAAAAUCCCCGUGUCGGUGGUUCGAUUCCGCCUCUGGG
rnacentral:tRNA from 1 species